UACGUAGGGUGCAAGCGUUAUCCGGAAUUAUUGGGCGUAAAGAGCUCGUAGGCGGCUCGUCGCGUCGACCGUGAAAACCCGCGGCUUAACUGCGGGCUUGCGGUUGAUACGGGCGGGCUAGAGUUCGGUAGGGGAGACUGGAAUUCCUGGUGUAGCAGUGAAAUGCGUAGAUAUCAGGAGGAACACCGAUGGCGAAGGCAGGUCUCUGGGCUGACACUGACGCUCAUGCACGAAAGCGUGGGGAGCAAACAGG
rnacentral:rRNA from 1 species